CCUACGGGUGGCAGCAGUGGGGAAUAUUGCGCAAUGGGCGAAAGCCUGACGCAGCGACGCCGCGUGAGGGAUGAAGGUCUUCGGAUCGUAAACCUCUGUCAGCAGGGAAGAACGGUCACUGUGCUAAUCAGCAGUGAAUUGACGGUACCUGCAAAGGAAGCACCGGCUCACUCCGGGCCCGCAGCCGCGGUAAUACGGGGGGUGCGAGCGUUAAUCGGAAUUACUGGGCGGAAAGCGCUCGUAGGCGGUAUGUCAAGGCAAGGGUGAAAUCCCCGCGCUCAACGUGGGAACUGCCUUUGAGACGGGCAAACUGGAGUGUGUGAGAGGAUAGUGGAAUUCCAGGUGUAGGAGUGAAAUCCGUAGAUAUCUGGAGGAACAUCAGUGGCGAAGGCGACUAUCUGGCACAUAACUGACGCUGAGGAGCGAAAGCGUGGGUAGCAAACAGGAUUAGAUACCCGAGUAGUC
rnacentral:rRNA from 1 species